rnacentral:rRNA from 1 species
AAGUCUGAUGGAGCAACGCCGCGUGAGUGAUGAAGGUUUCGGCUCGUAAAACUCUGUUGUUGGAGAAGAACAGGUGAUAGAGUAACUGUUAUCAUCUUGACGGUAUCCAACCAGAAAGCCACGGCUAACUACGUGCCAGCAGCCGCGGUAAUACGUAGGUGGCAAGCGUUGUCCGGAUUUAUUGGGCGUAAAGCGAGCGCAGGCGGUUUUUUAGGUCUGAUGUGAAAGCCUUCGGCUUAACCGGAGAAGGGCAUCGGAAACCGGGAGACUUGAGUGCAGAAGAGGACAGUGGAACUCCAUGUGUAGCGGUGAAAUGCGUAGAUAUAUGGAAGAACACCAGUGGCGAAGGCGGCUGUCUGGUCUGUAACUGACGCUGAGGCUCGAAAGCAUGGGUAGCGAACAGGAUUAGAUACCCUGGUAGUCCAUGCCGUAAACGAUGAGUGCUAAGUGUUGGAGGGUUUCCGCCCUUCAGUGCUGCAGCUAACGCAUUAAGCACUCCGCCUGGGGAGUACGACCGCAAGGUUGAAACUCAAAGGAAUUGACGGGGGCCCGCACAAGCGGUGGAGCAUGUGGUUUAAUAGAUGCUACGCGAAGAACCUUACCAGGUCUUGACAUCUUCUGCUAACCUAAGAGAUUAGGCGUUCCCUUCGGGGACGGAAUGACAGGUGGUGCAUGGUUGUCGUCAGCUCGUGUCGUGAGAUGU